GAUACCCUGUUAUAAGAUAUGUAAUUUAUAAAAUUAGAGUAGUAGUAGAUAAAGUCUUGAAACUUAAAUAAUUUGGCGGUAUUUUAGUCUAUUCAGAGGAAUCUGUUCUAUAAUCGAUAGUCCACGUUAAAUCUUACUUAAAUUUGUUUUUAAUUUGUAUAUCGCUGUUAUAUUGAAUAUUUUAUAAGAAUAAUAAUUUUCAAUAAUUUUAAUAAAAAUUUAUGUCAAGUCAAGGUGCAGUUUAUAUUUAAGUAGAAAUGGAUUACAAUAAAAUUAUUUAAAUGAAUUUAGAUUUAAAAUAAUUUAAUGAAAGUGGAUUUGAUAGUAAAUUUAUUUAUAUAUAUAUAUAUAUAUAUUAAUUUGAUUUUAGCUCUAAAAUAUGUACAAAUCGCCCGUC
rnacentral:rRNA from 1 species